CUUAUUUAAUUGGGACAGAUUCCGUCUCCAUUCUUUUGCUGCUACCUUUAACUAUAAACUAUGUUUCUCUUGUCAGAGAAUCUAUACUUCUAGGAAUUUUUGCUGUUUUUUUUAGUGUGAAGACUUUCUACGGUCGUUAUAAUAAGGAACUUCCAGUUCAUCAGUUAUUGGUUUGCAUGGUUGACCCAGUACUGGACCUUCAUCUUUGUCUAUUGUCCAUCAGGUUGCACCGUUUACAUGGUUGGUCAAUGCCAG